rnacentral:misc_RNA from 1 species
GGGAGAACUAGAAAUUUAAUGUUUGAAAAUCAAAUUAAGCUAUAAUAACAUUAUACCUCUCUUCAUGUAAUGUUUUCAACUAUAUGUAGUGACUAAAAAAGGUGCUAGAUUUUAUUUAUAAGUUAACAAAGUAAUUCUUCACUUGAAGUGCUAAAAAUAUAAGAUAAUUCAUCACUUAACAAAUUUAUAAAGCAUAGAUGAUCUACGAAAGGAAUGUU